GGGAAUGUGGCUCAGUGGUAGAGUGUCUGCCUGGCAUGCACAAGGCCCUGGGUUCAACCCCGAGCACCA
rnacentral:tRNA from 1 species